UACGGAGGAUGCAAGCGUUAUCCGGAAUUAUUGGGCGUAAAGGGCUCGUAGGCGGUCUGUUGCGUCAGGAGUGAAAACUCGGGGCUUAACCCCGAGCCUGCUUCUGAUACGGGCAGACUAGAGGUAUGCAGGGGAGAACGGAAUUCCUGGUGUAGCGGUGAAAUGCGCAGAUAUCAGGAGGAACACCGGUGGCGAAGGCGGUUCUCUGGGCAGUUCCUGACACUGAGGCACGAAGGCCAGGGGAGCAAACGGG
rnacentral:rRNA from 1 species